CAUAUCAACUUUCGAAGCCAUUGACUACGUCUAUCUUGGUGACCAUGGGUAACGGGGAAUCAGGGUUCGAUUACG